rnacentral:rRNA from 1 species
AUGACAUUACAGGAACAGAAGCCCUUCUCAGUUGUCUCAACAAAUCACCCACUUCCUUCCUUCAACAGAAAUGAGUCAUGUUUAGAACAGUUCCCUGAAAAGGUUAAGCUGGGAUCUCAAAAAGAGCUGCCGGUUCAGGUCAAGUUAGAACAGUCAAUCGGCAGAGGAAAGGAAAAUGAGCCCCUGUCAAUACUCCCGGCCACUCUUCCACACUCUUCCUUGAACAGAAAUAGUCUGCAUAUCGAAAAAAUCCCUGAAAAGGUUCACUGUUCGGAUACAAGGAUGAGAGAAAGUCAUCUGGUCUCAUGUGUAGAUGUGGACAAUCACGGAGGAGAGCUCAAAGACAGUUCAGUGACCCCUGUAACUUCCUGCAAUGCAAGUUCAAGAAAUGCAGAUGCCAAACCUCAGGAGGAUAAAGCUUCCAUGGAGCCCCAACCUACUACUUCAAAGAUAAAAGUAUCAGAAACUUCUACCAUUUCUCUGAACCAGCAAAUCCAUUUCAAAGGGAACGGGCAGAAACAAGCUGAUAUUCUGGUUAGGCGUUCGUGUGAGGACAGAAGCUCAAUAGAGCCAGGUGUUACUGAUGGUGCUAGCAGUCAAUUUGGUAUUUCUCCAGAUAUUGAGGUGUGCAUUGGACACCCUUUAUAUAACAUUGAACCUAACAUAGAAAGGAUUCUAUCAGAGGUCAUCCUAACCACCCAGAGGCAUGCACCAGAUGGGAAUGCUGCUAAAAUUGAUGGUUUUGAAACAUUGACGCCAGUGAAUUCCUGCUCACCAUCUUGUUACAUUCGGUAUGAGGGUGCUGAGGGAAGUCCAUACACGCGGGAAGAGACCAUUUCAUGCUGUCUGACUAGGAGAACGAAGCAUACUCGAAAUAUUAGAAGCCUUGUUUUUCACCGUGUACAGUAUUUCUGUAGAGGUAUAGUUGAUCAAUCUCAUUACAUACUUUGCCUUCUUGAGUCUGAAUCACCGGAUGACCAUCAAAUAGCUGUUGAAAUGAUAUCGGGAGAUGAGCGUUUUCACAUCGCUACUCUCCCCACUUCUGAUCAAGCAAAAAAGUUUGUGGAUCAAUUCAUUCUUCUGAUGAAACGGGAUGGCUACACACUAUGCAAUUCUACGGUCUGUAAUGGAUUCUCUGAACUCACACAGCAAUCCACAGAUGUAUCUCAGCCCGACUAUCUGACUGGAGAACAUCCACAGUACCAGGGGUUCUCGCCUUCUGUUGCGAAAACCGUUGUGAUUAAUGAAUGUAAGGAUACAGGUUUUGCAUCGGAGAAGAGGCUCCCAGAUGUACAUGCCCAUGCUCGGCAGCAAGGGAGCCAGCAGUGGGGACUGCUAGAUGUACAUGCCAAUGUUCUGUAUCAAGGGAGUCGGCAGUGGGGCCUGCCAGAUGUGCAUGCAAAUGCCCAGCACGAAGGGAGUCAGCACUGGGGGAUGCCAGAUGCACACAGAAAUGCCAUGCAGCAAGGGAGUACUCAGCAGUGGGGGCAGUCAUAUGCACACACAAAUGCUCCACGGCUAGGGGGUAAGCAGCAACGGGGGAAACCAUAUGCAGACACAAAUGUUCCGCAGCGCAGGAGUAACCGGCAGCAGGGGCAACCAUAUGCGCAUGCAAGUGUUCCGCAGCAAGGGAGUAACCAGCAGCGGUAG